rnacentral:rRNA from 1 species
AAUGAACGCUGGCGGCAGGCCUAACACAUGCAAGUCGAACGGGUCCUUCGGGACUAGUGGCGGACGGGUGAGUAACGCGUGGGAACGUGCCCUUUGGUUCGGAAUAGCCUCGGGAAACUGGGAGUAAUACCGAAUGUGCCCUUCGGGGGAAAGAUUUAUCGCCAAAGGAUCGGCCCGCGUUGGAUUAGGUAGUUGGUGGGGUAAUGGCCUACCAAGCCGACGAUCCAUAGCUGGUUUGAGAGGAUGAUCAGCCACACUGGGACUGAGACACGGCCCAGACUCCUACGGGAGGCAGCAGUGGGGAAUCUUAGACAAUGGGGGCAACCCUGAUCUAGCCAUGCCGCGUGAUCGAUGAAGGCCUUAGGGUUGUAAAGAUCUUUCAGAUGGGAAGAUAAUGACGGUACCAUCAGAAGAAGCCCCGGCUAACUCCGUGCCAGCCGCCGCCGUAA